rnacentral:rRNA from 1 species
UACGUAGGGUGCAGGCGUUAAUCGGAAUUACUGGGCGUGAAGCGUGCGCAGGCGGUUUGCUAAGACAGGUGUGAAAUCCCCGGGCUUAACCUGGGAACUGCGCUUGUAACUGGCAAGCUAGAGUGUGGCAGAGGGGGGUGGAAUUCCAGGUGUAGCAGUGAAAUGCGUAGAGAUCUGGAGGAACACCGAUGGCGAAGGCAGCCCCCUGGGCUAACACUGACGCUCAUGCACGAAAGCGUGGGGAGCAAACAGG